UAUAAACUCCUCAAGUUCUAGCUUGUUUUUGAAUUUUUGUCCCUUGAAAAUUCUAAAAUACUUUGUCCGUUGAAAAAGCUUUUUGCUUUGACGCAACCAAUGACUUUGCGCUCGAAAAAUCUGUUUCAUGAAGGUUAUAACUUCUUCCACAGUUUAACCUC
rnacentral:misc_RNA from 1 species